UGGGAAUUUUGGACAAUGGGCGAAAGCCUGAUCCAGCCAUGCCGCGUGCAGGAUGAAGGCCUUCGGGUUGUAAACUGCUUUUGUACGGAACGAAAAGACUCUGGUUAAUACCUGGGGUCCAUGACGGUACCGUAAGAAUAAGCACCGGCUAACUACGUGCCAGCAGCCGCGGUAAUACGUAGGGUGCAAGCGUUAAUCGGAAUUACUGGGCGUAAAGCGUGCGCAGGCGGUUAUAUAAGACAGAUGUGAAAUCCCCGGGCUCAACCUGGGAACUGCAUUUGUGACUGUAUAGCUAGAGUACGGCAGAGGGGGAUGGAAUUCCGCGUGUAGCAGUGAAAUGCGUAGAUAUGCGGAGGAACACCGAUGGCGAAGGCAAUCCCCUGGGCCUGUACUGACGCUCAUGCACGAAAAGCGUGGGGAGCAAAACAGGAUUAGAUACCCUGGUAGUCCACGCCCUAAACGAUGUCAACUGGGUUGUUGGGUCUUUCACUGACUCAGUAACGAAGCUAAACGCGUGAAGUUGACCGCCU
rnacentral:rRNA from 1 species